rnacentral:rRNA from 1 species
ACUAACAAGGAUUCCCCUAGUAACUGCGAGUGAAGAGGGAAAAGCUCAAAUUUAAAAUCUGGCGGGCUCUGUCCGUCCGAGUUGUAAUCUGGAGAAGCGUUUUCCGCGUCGGACCGUGCACAAGUCUCCUGGAACGGAGCGUCAUAGAGGGUGAGAAUCCCGUCCAUGGCACGGACCGCCGAUGCUCUGUGAUACGUUUUCAAAGAGUCGAGUUGUUUGGGAAUGCAGCUCAAAACGGGUGGUAAAUUCCAUCUAAAGCUAAAUAUUGGCGAGAGACCGAUAGCGAACAAGUACCGUGAGGGAAAGAUGAAAAGCACUUUGGAAAGAGAGUUAAACAGUACGUGAAAUUGUUGAAAGGGAAACGCUUGAAGUCAGUCGCGUCCGACGGAACUCAGCCUUGCUUCGGCCUGGUGUACUUUCCGUCGGACGGGUCAACAUCAGUUUUGACCGGUGGAAAAAGGUGGGGGGAAUGUAGCGCCGCUUCGGUGGCGUGUUAUAGCCCCUCGCUGUAUGCACCGGUCGGGACUGAGGACCGCAGCACGCCUUUUUGGCCGGGGGCUCGCGCCCUACGUACCGUGCUUAGGAUGUUGGCAUAAUGGCUUUAAGCGACC